UCCGGUUGACCGUCUUCGCACUACAACAACAUCGAGUCCUCUCGCUACUGUAGCUACUUUUAACUGUUCUUUUAAGCGAUUUUAACAUGUUUGGCAUCAAUUGCGCUGUCCGUGGGUGCCACAACAACUAGGGAAAGAUCAAGCUUUCUCUCUCUCAGAAUUGUUUAGAGCACGGAAAGGUUAGAUCUGAAUGCUGCGGACCAGCUUUUAAACUAUACCCGCCUCUGUCUAAAGAAGAAGACCUCUGCUGCUGGCUCAAGGCACUCAAUUUAAAAAAGCCACCAAAGCGUCCGUAUGUGUGCUCCUUUCAUUUUGUGGACCUACAUCCCACACCACUCCAUCCCUAUCCAGAGAAGUGGCUGGGCUACAAGGCUGUGUUAAAGAAGCCACGACGGAAGCUUGAGAGACACACAGACCAUGAAGAGAAGUCAAGACAUCUCUUCUUCCUUCAAGAAGAAAAUUAGCACAGGAGAACCAAGCACCGAACCUGGGAACCCGGGAGGACAGAGCCUUCUCUGCCCCCACACUGUGGAACUUCCUACCCCAACACGUCCAUGACUGCACAGACCUGACCACUUUCAAGUCAUUCCUCAAGACCCACCAGUUCACAGCUGCUUUUAAUAUAUAAAUACUAACUUAUUUUGAUGAUGUGUAUUUGACUUGUUUUAUGAUGCUCCUCUAUUUUAAUGUUUGCUGAUUUUAUAUGUAGCUAUGUAAAGUGUCUUUGAGUAUUUUAGCACUUUUGCCUUGCAGCUAGAAGAUUCUCGGUUAGCGCUUUCCCAGGAUCUUUCUGCAUGGAGUUUCCUUGUUCUCCCUUUGAAUGAGUUGGUUUUCUGCGGGUUCUCUGGCUUCCUCCCACAGCUGAGGCUAAUUGGUAACUCUAAAUGUGAAUGUGAGUGUGAUUGUUUGUCUCAAAGUGUAGUCCUGUGAUAGACUGUUGACCUGUCCGGGUGUCUCCUGCCUUCACCCUCAGUCAGCUGGGAUAGACUAGUGGUGUUUAGAUAAUGUAUGAAUUGAUGGAUAGAUGUAUUUGUUUUUAAUGUUAUACAAAUUUCUCACGUCUUCAUUUGUGCAGCAAAGCUGUUGUUAACCUGGUAAAAUAAGCUAUGUUUGAAGUCGUCAUUAAACCUGCAAACUGUCACUUUUAUUCUGAUGACAGCUGCUGUAAAACAACUCUGAACUGUUUGCUGAUUCCUUUCAGUGACUCAGAGCACAGUUUUAUCAUGAUAAUUAACUCCAUCCAGCAUGUGAAUGAAUCCUUCAUCAGGUGAUAGAAGCAUGAAAUGAUCUCUGUCUGUCGCUACGUUAAGCAGCAACAACUUCCAGACUGAAUGUUUAACUCUCAGAGUUUUACAGCUUUAAUGAUGCUAAUAAAGCUGCAGGUAUCUGAA